UACGUAGGUGGCAAGCGUUGUCCGGAAUUAUUGGGCGUAAAGCGCGCGCAGGUGGUUUCUUAAGUCUGAUGUGAAAGCCCACGGCUCAACCGUGGAGGGUCAUUGGAAACUGGGAGACUUGAGUGCAGAAGAGGAAAGUGGAAUUCCAUGUGUAGCGGUGAAAUGCGUAGAGAUAUGGAGGAACACCAGUGGCGAAGGCGAGUUUCUGGACAGUUACUGACGCUGAGGCACGAAGGCCAGGGGAGCAAACGGG
rnacentral:rRNA from 1 species